AGCGAACGCUGGCGGCAGGCUUAACACAUGCCAGUCGAACGGGCUUCUUCGGAAGUCAGUGGCAGACGGGUGAGUAACACGUGGGAACGUGCCCUUCGGUUCGGAAUAACUCAGGGAAACUUGAGCUAAUACCGGAUACGCCCUUUUGGGGAAAGGUUUACUGCCGAAGGAUCGGCCCGCGUCUGAUUAGCUUGUUGGUGGGGUAACGGCCUACCAAGGCGACGAUCAGUAGCUGGUCUGAGAGGAUGAUCAGCCACACUGGGACUGAGACACGGCCCAGACUACUACGGGAGGCAGCAGUGGGGAAUAUUGGACAAUGGGCGCAAGCCUGAUCCAGCCAUGCCGCGUGAGUGAUGAAGGCCUUAGGGUUGUAAAGCUCUUUUGUCCGGGACGAUAAUGACGGUACCGGAAGAAUAAGCCCCGGCUAACUUCGUG
rnacentral:rRNA from 1 species